GAGUGGUGACUGACGAGUAUGGGUACGCUGGAUCCGUGCUUGGGCACCGUCAACGUACCUUGCCCGUCUCUUCAGUUGUCGGCACAGGCGCGCGGAGCCUUGGCCGAAUGAUGUUUUCCCGUGCUGUAUACCCGCUACAGGGGUACUGGAUUUGCCCAAUUGCAUGCGUGUGCUCGCUUCUUGCUGCCGUCCCCUUGGAUUUUGGCAUGGAGUGAACGUCGUGGCAUUGAUUGUGUUCCACUUUCCUUGCGCGCCCGUGCUUGGGUUGUUGGGCCAUGAUCCUUGCUCGAUCUCUUGGUCGCGGGAUACCAUACCUUGUGGGCAUGAGGCACUAGUCUCGGUUCGCCCCUUAUCGAGCGUUUAACGCUACGUUGCAAAUGACAGUUGUGGUCGUUUCGGCCAGGCCUUUAUGGCUUGGCUCCUACGGUCCCAACGUCGACGAGGAACGCUACCUGGUUGAUCCUGCCAGUAGUCAUAUGCUUGUCUCAAAGAUUAA
rnacentral:misc_RNA from 1 species